rnacentral:rRNA from 1 species
UGGCAAGCGUUGUCCGGAUUUAUUGGGCGUAAAGCGAGCGCAGGCGGUCUUUUAAGUCUGAUGUGAAAGCCCUCGGCUCAACCGAGGAAGGUCAUUGGAAACUGGAGGACUUGAGUGCAGAAGAGGAGAGUGGAAUUCCAUGUGUAGCGGUGAAAUGCGUAGAUAUAUGGAGGAACACCAGUGGCGAAGGCGACUCUCUGGUCUGUAACUGACGCUGAGGCUCGAAAGCGUGGGGAGC